AUUGAACGCUGGCGGCAUGCUUUACACAUGCAAGUCGAACGGUAACAGGCCGCAAGGUGCUGACGAGUGGCGAACGGGUGAGUAAUGCAUCGGAACGUGCCCAGUCGCGGGGGAUAACGCAGCGAAAGCUGCGCUAAUACCGCAUACGAUCUAUGGAUGAAAGCGGGGGACCGUAAGGCCUCGCGCGAUUGGAGCGGCCGAUGUCAGAUUAGGUAGUUGGUGGGGUAAAGGCUCACCAAGCCAACGAUCUGUAGCUGGUCUGAGAGGACGACCAGCCACACUGGGACUGAGACACGGCCCAGACUCCUACGGGAGGCAGCAGUGGGGAAUUUUGGACAAUGGGCGCAAGCCUGAUCCAGCAAUGCCGCGUGCAGGAAGAAGGCCUUCGGGUUGUAAACUGCUUUUGUACGGAACGAAAAGGCUCUGGUUAAUACCUGGGGCUCAUGACGGUACCGUAAGAAUAAGCACCGGCUAACUACGUGCCAGCCGCCGCAGUAACAC
rnacentral:rRNA from 1 species